GGCCAGACUCCUACGGGAGGCAGCAGUGGGGAAUAUUGCACAAUGGGGGAAACCCUGAUGCAGCGACGCCGCGUGAGUGAAGAAGUAUUUCGGUAUGUAAAGCUCUAUCAGCAGGGAAGAAAAUGACGGUACCUGACUAAGAAGCCCCGGCUAACUACGUGCCAGCAGCCGCGGUAAUACGUAGGGGGCAAGCGUUAUCCGGAUUUACUGGGUGUAAAGGGAGCGUAGACGGCAUGGCAAGUCAGAUGUGAAAGCCCGGGGCUCAACCCCGGGACUGCAUUUGAAACUGUCAGGCUGGAGUGCAGGAGAGGUAAGUGGAAUUCCUAGUGUAGCGGUGAAAUGCGUAGAUAUUAGGAGGAACACCAGUGGCGAAGGCGGCUUACUGGACUGUAACUGACGUUGAGGCUCGAAAGCGUGGGGAGCAAACAGGAUUAGAUACCCGAGUACU
rnacentral:rRNA from 1 species